rnacentral:rRNA from 1 species
GAUGAACGCUGGCGGCGUGCCUAAUACAUGCAAGUCGAGCGAACGGACGAGAAGCUUGCGUCUCUGAUGUUAGCGGCGGACGGGUGAGUAACACGUGGAUAACCUACCUAUAAGAGUGGGAUAAAGUCGGGAAACCGGAGCUAAUACCGGAUAAUAUUUUGAAACGCAUGGGUCAAAAGUGAAAGACGGUCUUGGUGUCACUUAGAGAUGGAUCCGCGCUGCAUUAGGGAGUUGGUAAGGUAACGGCUUAACAAGGCAACGAUGCAUAGCCGACCUGAGAGGGUGUUCGGCCACACUGGAACUGAGCCGCGGUCCAGACUCCUACGGGAGGCAGCAGUAGGGAAUCUUCCGCAAUGGGCGAAAUCCUGACGGAUCAACGCCGCGUGAGUGAUGAAGGUCUUCGGAUCGUAAAACUCUGUUAUUAGGGAAGACCAUAUGUGUAAGUAACUGUGCACAUCUUGACGGUACCUAAUCAGAAAGCCACGGCUAACUACGUG